AUGAAGCGUCGGAACUGGGCCGGCAAUCCCAGGUGUUCUUUCUGUGAUUGCAGAGAAACCUAUUUACAUCUGUUCUUUCUUUGCCCAGUGGCAAGGAUUGCCUGGCGCACGGUUGGGGCGAUGUUUGGGACUGACUUAUGUCCCAAUAAUCUAUGUCAAUUUUAUUCUUUGUGCUAUGCUUUUCUUCCUCAAGGGGAAUGGUGCUUCACUAUGGGGCUGGCGGCUAUAUGUUGGGCCAUUUGGAAUCGUAGAAACCAGGCUACCUUUGAAUUCAAGAAAAUGGCGUCUCCUUUCGAGAUUGUCUUCAACGCUUGUAUGCACUUAUCUUAUUGGGCAGGUCUCCUGAAGGGCGAAAGGCGAGUGGAGCUGGAGCGUGGUGCGAUGAUUCUGAAGGAGAAUGCUAAAGAGAUGAUGAGAAUUUGCGCGACUGCACACGCGGGCGAUGCCGUGGAGUGA
rnacentral:rRNA from 1 species